rnacentral:rRNA from 2 species
UAACGACUCUCGGCAACGGAUAUCUCGGCUCUCGCAUCGAUGAAGAACGUAGCGAAAUGCGAUACUUGGUGUGAAUUGCAGAAUCCCGUGAACCAUCGAGUCUUUGAACGCAAGUUGCGCCCCAGGCCUUUAGGCCGAGGGCACGUCUGCCUGGGUGUCACG